GUUACUUCCCUACAGGAGCCUCUCUCCUCGGCUCGGUUCCCGCCAGAGCUUUGCACCCUCUUCGCGGUUGCGCACCGGCUGAGAGGAGGACGCGCAGGAGAAGAGGGCACUGCCUGGGCCUGUGGCCUUCGGAACCAGAAGUGCGCUCCGCCCUGUGCUGGCGCGGAGCCGGGAAGGCCGCCGCUGCCUGCCCGCCGCCGGCCCCAGGGCGCGGGUUCGAGGACGCCUGGGUCUUGCGGAGGGAAGAGACCAGGGCACCGGCUGGGCUGGGCCGCCGAGGCUCCGGCGGGAUGCGCUGCGGGCCCGGGAGGCCAUUUUGAGAGAGCGAGGAGCGGCUGCAAGAUGGCUGCGUGGGCACGUGAUUGUCCUGUGAAGUGAUGUGUGAUGGGACAGCCUCUUUUUGACUUUUAUGAAAAUGGAGACAGAGAGGAAUUGUGGCACCUGCCAAGGUCACAGGAUUGGAAUCCAAAGCCACUCUGAAACAUGAGAGAGCAUCGGAAGGGGAAAAGAAAAGCAAGCAGGAAGGAAAGAAGCAGAAGCCACUGUCCUGAGGCUGCAGCCAUCAGGGCUAGGAUGCGCCAGGAGGACUGGGCAGUGCUGCCCACCUGAGACUUGGUGCUGUCCCUGUAUCUCCUCUCCACCCUUUCUGCCCUUGUCACACCUCGUCAGGCCUGUUCUGGGUCUGAGGUGCCAUGGAACACUCUGGCUAAACCUCUGGCCAAAGGAAGCUCUUCGCCACCCACACUCCCACCCUGAGGACCAGGGGAGCAUGCACGGAAGUUGCCCAAGCCAGGCUCCAGCCUUCUAGGAGUUAACGACUCCCUCUUCCCAGCUGUCCUCCCCCUGGUGCUCCUCAUCCUCCCUCCUCCUGCUCACAGCAGGCAAGGCCUGGACCCGGGAGCCAUGCUGCUGUGCUGUUGCCAGGGGAGCCGGGAGGCAGAUCCGAGCUAUGCAGGGAAAAGGCCCAGCCUGUCAAAGUGUCUGAGAUGAACCGCCGCCGUCCCUGUGCAGCUGGGCUCAGACGUGUCUCUGCUCUUGUUCUGUGCCUGAGAAUGGCGAAGCCCAGUGAGGUUCAAGGGCAAACUUGCUAUUCAUUAGUCAGGGGUUCUUGACGUCCCCUCUCUACCAGGGAUGGGUUUCCCCCCUUCCUCUUUCUGUCGCUCCUGUGACACAUUCCUGGGUAUCUUUGGUGAGGACUGCACACCCUCCUCCUGCCCAGCCCCCUCUCCAAAAGCCCCUGAAUAAACUCCCCUUAAGGAGACUGGGCAGGGCAGAGACAAUAGCUGCAGGAAAUCAUUCAGGCGGGACCCCAGCCAUGCUGGCCCACUCUCUACUCCUAGUGCCCCUGUGGGCCCCAGUCCCCUCUGACAUGGGGCACCCUUGGGCCACCGGCCUGCACAGGCCUGGACAGGAGGAAACCACUGGACACUGCCUUAAGGACUGCAGGCUUCAAUGUUCUCAGUGGCUCUUCACUUGCCUCCCUGGCUUGCGUCUCACAUUGGCUGUUUUUUUGUGCUUUUCUGUACCAUCGUGUGUCUAUUUUAAGACACUCACUCAUUUGGGGAGUAUACAUUGUACAGUAAUUUCUGAAAUGUGGCAAUAUCAAAUGGAAAAGGCACAUAUACUCGGUCACAGACAAAUUGUACUACCAGAAAUUAACUGCAUGUAUUUGUAAAAGUUCCCAAAGACCUAUGUACAUGAGUAUCCAUCAGAGCAUUUAUUUUUUAAUAUUAAAAAAAAAUGGACAGGAACAUCUGAUCCACUCACACCGUGGAAUACUAUGCAGCUGUAAAAACUGAUGUUUAGAGCUCUAUGUGUAAGCUGAAGUGGAAGGAUGGCCAAUAAGUAUUACUGGUUGAACUAAAUAAUGGAAUAACAGGCAAAAAAGUAAGAUCUUACUUGUGUACUUUAAAAUCAGUCAGAAGCACGCUUAUCUGUGGAUGGCUUUUGGAAAUAUAUAUUGGAAGACUACCUUUGGGGAGUAAGAGGCUAUUUAAUGUAAUAGGCUUAACUCCCACCAACCAGCUCUGGGUAGGAGCUCCAAGAGGGUAAUGGAGAUGUUGGAGGAAAAAGCAUCCCCAAAUUACUGGAGAUUUCUGCCACUGGCCAUUUUGAGCCUAAUAAUCACACUUCAUCAUGACUGCUAUUAUUCUUCGUCAAAAGCCUAUAAAGUGCCAGGCUUAGUAUCUUUGGGUCCUGCUAAGGUGGGUAUCGUUGCUCCAAUUUCACCCAUUCAAUCUGGAAAAGAGGUUGAUUGGUUUGUCUGAGCCCCAGGGGCUGGGGUGGGACUGGUGUUGGCUUCCUGUUUCCUUCUGGGUAGUUUUUGCCACUCCACCCUCAAGGGCUGCCCGUUUUGGGGUGGAGACCCUUGGAGACCUGAGUCCACACCAGGCGUGGCGGUGGAUCAUGAUAAGCGAGGAGGUGCCCCAUGCCCUGUGGCCCAGGAGAGGUAUCGCUGUGCUGGGGUGGGAAAGUGGGCUGUGAAAGGACCUGUAGCUAUAAGCAGCAUGUGUUCAGGAAGAUGUUGCUGCACCUAAUGCUGCCCCAGCUCCACUCCCCCCUUACCACACCCCAUAAAGACAAAAUGGUCUGGAAAGUGUCUCUGAGGGGCAACAUGCCUCCUCGAGUGGGGAGACAUGGGUAAGCCCCCCACACGUCAAGGUUGUAGCAGUCUGCAGAACUCUCUGUUGGGCCUUUUGUGGCUUGGGAAGACGAUGGGCAUCGAGGUACAGUCAAGCUGCCCAGAGGGGCUGGAAAACCCUCGGAGGUCCCUGGGGUCUUGGUAGCAGCUACAGGCACUCCACAUUGGGUGUGCGGUCAAUAGGUUGGGGAAGGGAACCAGGUAGAACAAGAGCAACCACCAACAGAAUAAAACAGGUAGCCAGGUCACCUGUUUUAACAGUGAUUCAAUUUUAUGCCUUGUGGGUACCAGUGGUGCAAUCAUUUUAUGGAUGAGGACACCAAGACCCAGAGAAGUUAAGUUACAGAUCCCAAGUCACACAGCUAGUAAGUGCCAAAAACUGAGAAUCUAAACCAAAUCUCUGACGCUAAAAUCUACUCCUAAUCCUAAAAAGAUGGUCCCCAAAGCUGCAACCCCUCCUUGGCAGUCCCCACAUACAAAGACAUUAACUCCUCCCCAGCAAGGUCACCUCAAAUAGUCCUUUGCCUGGGGUCCUUCCCCAAUUCCACAGAAUGCAUCUACCGCCUGGGGUGUGCCCAGCCCUGGAGAGGCACUGGGAUGGAAGAAGUGUAAUGGAACCUCUACAUGCUGGGCCUUAGGUUAGUACUGCAGUAGGUGCUGCAGCCACCUCAUCUCCUAGCUGCUGGUCAGCUGCACUCCUGCAAACUGCACUUGUGUUUGGGGUCCUUGACCUGAAGGAGUCUAACAGGAAGAUGGUGAUGUUCUCUGCUUGCCCCAGUGCUUCCCAGGCUGCCUGUUGGGGGCUCCAGGAAGGCUCAGGCUGGAGAAGCAGAAAAAGGGGAGUAGAGAUGGCACCCAGGAGCUUGUGUUCUUAGGACUCUUCCAAGGCCAGUGUCUCCCCACACCAAGGCGGCAUGGUCCUGAAGGGGAGAGGCUUCCUCCUAUCCUGUGAACCUCCUGCCUUUCUUGCCCAG